UGGGGAAUUUUGGACAAUGGGCGCAAGCCUGAUCCAGCAACGCCGCGUGCAGGAUGAAGGCCUUCGGGUUGUAAACUGCUUUUGUACAGAACGAAACGGUCUUUUCUAAUACAGAAGGCUAAUGACGGUACCGUAAGAAUAAGCACCGGCUAACUACGUGCCAGCAGCCGCGGUAAUACGUAGGGUGCGAGCGUUAAUCGGAAUUACUGGGCGUAAAGCGUGCGCAGGCGGUUUUGUAAGACAGAGGUGAAAUCCCCGGGCUCAACCUGGGAAUUGCCUUUGUGACUGCAAGGCUUGAGUGCGGCAGAGGGGGAUGGAAUUCCGCGUGUAGCAGUGAAAUGCGUAGAUAUGCGGAGGAACACCGAUGGCGAAGGCAAUCCCCUGGGCCUGCACUGACGCUCAUGCACGAAAGCGUGGGGAGCAAACA
rnacentral:rRNA from 1 species